GCGGACUGUUAUUUCAACGAAUCCACUUUUAAAAACAUAGUUAUCAAAAAUUAUAUCACAGAUUUAUGUCUAACCUUGUUGAUCUUUAGUCACCAUAAGGUUCAGUAAAUCUAGACAAAUGAGAACAACAUCAAUGUAGAGAAGAAGUGCCAAUGAAGAAGUAACAUACUGACCUUUAGAUGCUGAUUCAUUAUCUAUGCAAAUAAUAUUUGAACAGAAUAUUGCAACGUCGAACUGGCAGCGUAUUAAAGAAAGCAUUAGAUAUGCGGAAAUAAUUAAAUGAAAGGAUUGAAAAGGCACACUACCUUCGAUUUGAUGAAGUCGCAUGUAGAAACCACUCAACGCAAGCCUCAAUGCUCUCUGGUGUAUGCGCACCGUCAACAUAAAAAGUUGCGCCCUUCAGACGAAGAAUUUGAGAGCGACCCGGCCAGAAAGUUUGAGCUAAUCCCAGGGCAUCAGGGUUUAAAAAUGCACGGCUCAACUGUAGGGCCAAAGAGGCAUUUUUCCUUUGGACCUUUCCAGACAAACCUAAGUUGAUUUGGUAAGGAGCCCAAUGAUAUUCGUCAAGUGAAGGUACAAUAUACAAAGGACACU